AAUCCCAUAAACCGUGGCUCAGUUCAGAUCGUAGGCUGCAACUCGCCUACGUGAAGGCGGAAUCGCUAGUAAUCGCAGGUCAGCAUACUGCGGUGAAUACGUUCCCGGGCCUUGUACACACCGCCCGUCACACCAUGGAAGUUGGCCACGCCCGAAGCCGUUACUCCAACCCUUGUGGAGGAGGACGUCGAAGGUGGGGCUGAUGACUGGGGUGAAGUCGUAACAAGGUAUCCGUACCGGAAGGUGCGGAUGGAUCACCUCCUAACAGGGAGACAACACAAUGAUUUUGAUGCCUGAGUGCUUUUAUUCUUAGGCCGAAAUCCUGUCACCUUAGGUCGAUCGGUACCUCAGCUUUGAAGUCAAGGAUCAGCAGCGAUGUUGAUUGCUUGAUGGAGAUUUUCAGUUCCUAAACUUUGUCUAGGUCACACCCCAAAAGGGAUGAGACUCCUGGGCCAUUAGCUCAGGUGGUUAGAGCGCACCCCUGAUAAGGGUGAGGUCCCUGGUUCAAGUCCAGGAUGGCCCAUUCGGUGUUGGGGGUUUAGCUCAGUUGGUAGAGCGCCUGCUUUGCAAGCAGGAUGUCAGGAGUUCGAGUCUCCUAACCUCCACUGACCGAACUUGAUUCCCAUCUCCAAUUUUUUGGAGUUGAGCUCGAUUGGAGUGUGAUUUAGAUGUGUCCGCUGGAUGACCCCAGCUUCCUGUCAUUCCAAGUUUUAGGUUAAAGCCCUGAUUUGGUUGAUAAGAUGCUGGGCU
rnacentral:misc_RNA from 1 species